AGUGAACGCUGGCGGUAGGCCUAACACAUGCAAGUCGAACGGCAGCACAGUAAGAGCUUGCUCUUACGGGUGGCGAGUGGCGGACGGGUGAGGAAUAAAUCGGAAUCUACUUUUUCGUGGGGGAUAACGUAGGGAAACUUACGCUAAUACCGCAUACGACCUACGGGUGAAAGCAGGGGAUCUUCGGACCUUGCGCGAUUGAAUGAGCCGAUGUCGGAUUAGCUAGUUGGCGGGGUAAAGGCCCACCAAGGCGACGAUCCGUAGCUGGUCUGAGAGGAUGAUCAGCCACACUGGAACUGAGACACGGUCCAGACUCCUACGGGAGGCAGCAGUGGGGAAUAUUGGACAAUGGGCGUAAGCCUGAUCCAGCCAUACCGCGUGGGUGAAGAAGGCCUUCGGGUUGUAAAGCCCUUUUGUUGGGAAAGAAAAGCAGCAGGUUAAUACCCCGCUGUUCUGACGGUACCCAAAGAAUAAGCACCGGCUAACUUCGUG
rnacentral:rRNA from 1 species